rnacentral:rRNA from 1 species
UACGUAGGGUGCGAGCGUUAAUCGGAAUUACUGGGCGUAAAGCGUGCGCAGGCGGUUUUGUAAGCCAGAUGUGAAAUCCCCGGGCUUAACCUGGGAAUGGCAUUUGGGACUGCAAGGCUGGAGUACGGCAGAGGAGACUGGAAUUCCUGGUGUAGCAGUGAAAUGCGUAGAGAUCAGGAGGAAUACCGAGUGGCGAAGGCAGGUCUCUGGGCUGAUACUGACGCUCAUGCACGAAAGCGUGGGGAGCAAACAGG